CCUACGGGGUGCAGCAGUCGAGAAUCAUUCACAAUGGGGGAAACCCUGAUGGUGCGACGCCGCGUGGGGGAAUGAAGGUCUUCGGAUUGUAAACCCCUGUCAUGUGGGAGCAAAUUAAAAAGAUAGUACCACACGAGGAAGAGACGGCUAACUCUGUGCCAGCAGCCGCGGUAAUACAGAGGUCUUAAGCGUUGUUCGGAAUCACUGGGCGUAAAGCGUGCGUAGGCUGUUUCGUAAGUCGUGUGUGAAAGGCGCGGGCUCAACCCGCGGACGGCACAUGAUACUGCGAGACUAGAGUAAUGGAGGGGUAACCGGAAUUCUCGGUGUAGCAGUGAAAUGCGUAGAUAUCGAGAGGAACACUCGUGGCGAAGGCGGGUUCCUGGACAUUAACUGACGCUGAGGCACGAAGGCCAGGGGAGCGAAAGGGAUUAGAUACCCGGGUAGUC
rnacentral:rRNA from 1 species